AGAGUUUGAUCCUGGCUCAGGAUGAACGCUAGCUACAGGCUUAACACAUGCAAGUCGCGGGGCAGCAUGUCGGUUGCUUGCAACCGAUGAUGGCGACCGGCGCACGGGUGAGUAACGCGUAUCCAACCUGCCCUUCACCACGGAAUAAUCCAGUGAAAAUUGGUCUAAUACCGUAUGAGGUCAUACGAUGGCAUCAGAAUAUGACGAAAGGUUUAGCGGUGAAGGAUGGGGAUGCGUCUGAUUAGCUUGUUGGUGAGGUAACGGCUCACCAAGGCGACGAUCAGUAGGGGUUCUGAGAGGAAGGUCCCCCACAUUGGAACUGAGACACGGUCCAAACUCCUACGGGAGGCAGCAGUGAGGAAUAUUGGUCAAUGGGCGAGAGCCUGAACCAGCCAAGUAGCGUGCAGGACGACGGCCCUAUGGGUUGUAAACUGCUUUUAUAUGGGGAUAAAGUGAGCUACGUGUAGCUUAUUGCAGGUACCAUAUGAAUAAGGACCGGCUAAUUCCGUGCCAGCAGCCGCGGUAAUACGGAAGGUCCAGGCGUUAUCCGGAUUUAUUGGGUUUAAAGGGAGCGUAGGCCGCCCCUUAAGCGUGUUGUGAAAUGCCGCGGCUCAACCGUGGCACUGCAGCGCGAACUGGGGGGCUUGAGUGCACGCAACGCAGGCGGAAUUCGU
rnacentral:rRNA from 1 species